CAUCUAAUCUCGAAAUACGAACAUUAUCCCUGAACUAUAAGAAAAAUAGUGUAUUGAUGCAAUUGCAACCAAGAAAAGUAGUGUAAAUUAGGGUUAGGGUUCCGAUCAAGGGGUGGGACUAGGCUUAAGGGAGAAAAGAAUUGAAGGGAAGAAGAGAUCAAACUAGAGAGAUGAAAAAACUUUGGCAUCGAUAAGAGGGGGAGCUUGCACAG
rnacentral:lncRNA from 1 species